rnacentral:misc_RNA from 1 species
GAUGAAGAACGCAGCGAAAUGCGAUAAGUAAUGCGAAUUGCAGAAUUUCCGUGAGUCAUCGAAUCUUUGAACGCACAUUGCGCCCUUUGGUAUUCCUUAGGGCAUGCCUGUUCGAGCGUCAUUUAAACCUUCAAGCUAAGCUUGGUGUUGGGUGACUGUCCGCUUCACGGCGGACUCGCCUCAAAAUUAUUGGCGGCCGGUACAUUGGCUUCGAGCGCAGCAGAAACGCGAACUCGGGCCCGUCGUAUUGGCUCCCAGAAGCUAUCUUCACAAUUUUGACCUCGGAUCAGGUAGGGAUACCCGCUGAACUUAAGCAUAUCAAUAAGCGGAGGA